rnacentral:lncRNA from 1 species
CACCUAUUUCAUACAUUCACUGGUGACCCCCACGAAGAAUCACCUUAACAGUUCAAAAAAGUAUUUUUCUGAAAAAAAAAAAAAAAAAAAAAAAAAAAAAAAAACAAAAAAAACUAACACACAGAAAGAAUACAUAUUCAGAAAUAUUUAGAGAAAGACACAGAAAAUUAAAAUACAUUUAAAAAUACUGUUGCAGUUUUCACUUUCUACUCCUGAAACAGAAAUAAGCCAUUAUCAGUAAGUGCAUUUUUUUCAUGGAGAAAAUAUUUAUUAGAUUUCAAAUUAUCACAUAAUACAGAUAUUACACAAUUAGUCAUUCUAGAAAAAAAUAGUUUAUAUUAAUAUUCAUAAACACUGAAAAAUAUAGGACUUCAUUUUGUGACAUAAAAUAUAAAAAAACUCAAAGGUAAAUUCACCAAAAUAAAAGUUUAAAUAAACAAAUCAGUUCACAAUAAUAUACAAAAAGUUUCACUUUUAAAUAAAUAGCUUGUAGUGGCAUGAGGUGACUAGAAAUGCACUUACAUUUCCUUUUGCAUAUUUUAAGGAACAGAGCUAAAAUUCAAUCAAAGCAUGAGAUUAAGAGAUUAAAUCACUUUUCAUCUUCAAAGCUGAAACAAAAAGCUUAUAAUCUCACAGGCCACACAAAGCGGUUUCUACUGUGGUUCAAAGAGUUCAACUAACUUAAUUUCCAAGCAAAUAUCAUUUUUAGUUCCUUCAGUUCUUCCUAAAACGAUGGACAGUUGUUUUUUUUAAUUUAUAUGUGUUUGUAAACCAAUUGUCUUAUUAACAUUUACUAAAAACAAGUCGGGAGUAAAAGCUGUAAUCACUUAUGGGAAUUCAAAGCUCUCUGGGGAAAUUUCAGUUCAAAUUGAACCUUUAAACUUACUUUUAAAUACUAUACUUAACAAAAAUUUAUUUAUAAUUAAUGAGAAAAAAAUACAGAUAGCCAAGAAAGACUAAGUGCAGGUUAUGCUUUAGCAAAUGUGGCUUCUAAAACUUUUGAGAUUUCCUAAAACAUUUUAGCUGCUUCCAUAUUAAUAACUCUAGAAUGUCUAUUCUUAAAAUGUAUACCAAAUUUAACAAACUGGCAGCAUUAGGUGACUUUAAAAACAUUCUUUAAUAGCUUUUGACUGACCAGUUAAUAGAUACCAAAGAAAGAAACAGAAACAUUUUGAUAACUACUUCAAUCAAUUAAUUGACAGCUUGGAUAAAUAACUAUUUUGCAACACUUAUUCCUUCACACCUACAGGCUUAUUCUAAUACUAAGUGCUUCUGCUCUGUAAACUACUGUUUUGUGACAGUACCAAACUUUAGAAUGCCUUCAGUAUGAAAAAAAUACCUCAAGUUUAACAGGUAUGUAUUACUUUAGAAGACAGACCAAGCUACUUACAUCUCAAAAGAUAUUUCUUCUACUUCUCUAUUAGAAACUUUGUUGAUUUGACAAUUAUAAUAAGCCUCAAGACCAGCGAAGAUGAGCUAAAAGAGUAUAUCCUAAUAUUAAAAGCAGUUUUCGAAUAAUUAAGAAGUUCACCCUUUAUUUACUA